rnacentral:rRNA from 1 species
AGUGAACGCUGGCGGUAGGCCUAACACAUGCAAGUCGAACGGCAGCACAGUAAGAGCUUGCUCUUACGGGUGGCGAGUGGCGGACGGGUGAGGAAUACAUCGGAAUCUACUUUUUCGUGGGGGAUAACGUAGGGAAACUUACGCUAAUACCGCAUACGACCUACGGGUGAAAGCAGGGGAUCUUCGGACCUUGCGCGAUUGAAUGAGCCGAUGUCGGAUUAGCUAGUUGGCGGGGUAAAGCCCACCAAGGCGACGAUCCGUAGCUGGUCUGAGAGGAUGAUCAGCCACACUGGAACUGAGACACGGUCCAGACUCCUACGGGAGGCAGCAGUGGGGAAUAUUGGACAAAGGGCGCAAGCCUGAUCCAGCCAUACCGCGUGGGUGAAGAAGGCCUUCGGGUUGUAAAGCCCUUUUGUUGGGAAAGAAAAGCAGCAGGUUAAUACCCCGCUGUUCUGACGGUACCCAAAGAAUAAGCACCGGCUAACUUCGUG